UUUAUGAAACAUUUAUCUUGCUUAGGAAAUAUCUUGAUUAUUAAAACGCAAUUUGGCGGUGUGUUCCAUAAACUAGAAAUAAAAUGGACUAUUUUUGUUAUGGAUGACAGGAAUAGCUCAUGUAUUAUGUUUCUCAAAGUUAGGAUGGUGUAAUAUACUGCAGUUCUGGAAUGAAAUGAAUAUUUUUUAUUUUUUGAGAAUACGCACAAGAGCUGCGUAUAUUUGUAUUAAGAAGAAACGUAACGUUUAGAAGAUUGUUACAUCGCAGGGCCAAUCGGGCGCAUGCACACGGAACUGCAACCCCACAAUGAUUUACACUGAGUAAAACAACUAAACAACUUAAAUCAGGAGACUAGCAGAACUACCACUAGUAGAGAAUUGGCUUUCGAUGCGCCCCCUUUUGUCCCAGUUUAAAGUUGACUCGGGACAAAAGGGGGUGCGCCACGGUAGGCAAAAAUGGAGGGGAGAGUUAGUCCCGGUUGGUAAUUGCAACCGGGACUAAAGGCCCCCCUUUAGUCCCGGUUGCAAUGGCUAGUUCCGGCGCAUCGGUGGCGGCCUCCAACCGGGACAAAAAGUUUAGUCCUGGUUGCAGCUUCCAACCGGGACUAAACUUUCAACCAGGACAAAAGGUGUUCCUUUUUGUCUCGGUUGGAGUUUUUAACCGGGAUAAAAACUCAUUCCCAUUAUAUACCAAGACAGAGGCCUUUCUUCCUCCUCCAGCCCGAGCCAGUCCAGCACAUAGACAGAGAGCUGAGCUUCACCUACUCUCCGGUGGUGCCAAAGCAAGGGAGGUGCUGCCCGAAGUUUUUUCCCUCAUGUUUGUGGGAAUUUCACUCAGCCAACACAAGUGUUGUGAAAGGUUUGCUACUUCAUCCUCAUGUUAUGCUUUGAUUUAUGCUUUGGAGAUGGAAAGAUUAAUUGCUAGAAUGUGAUGAAGUAGAAAAUGGAGAGGUAUUUUAAGCUAGAAUGUGAGGCAAAUUGAUGUGUCAUAUAUAGCAUGUAUUCUUGCAGUGGUUUAAGAAUGAUGCUAUCUUGUCUAGACGGUUUAUCUUAUCAAAUUCAGUAAGGUUUUUCAAAUCCAUACUUGUUGAACUUGCAUACCGUGUUCAUCUCUGCGAGGAUGUUCUCCGCCGAGCAGCAACAUAUGUCAAGAAGGAGGUUCGAUUCUAUGAGAAAGAGUAGAUAUGGACAUCGUGACCGUGUCCCCUUUUCCGUAGCAUCGAACCUCUUCCAUGACGAAGUGCGGUACCGCCCAGUUGAGAACAUGCUCGCGAGAUGAUCACGGUCUUCAAGUUCAACAACUUCUGCAGUGCUAAGGAAAGAAAUUUUUGUACAUAGAUGGCUUCUGCUACUUGUUGAACUUAUCAAAUUUAAUAUGGUUUUUCAAAUCCAUACUUGUUGAACUUGCAUACCGUGGUCAUCUCGCAGAGGAUGUUCUCCGCCGAGCAGCAACGUAUGUCAAGAAGGAGGUUCGAUUCUACGAGAAAGAGUGGAUACGGACAUCGUGACCGUGUCCCCUUUUACAACUUAUACAGUGUUAAGGUAAUAAUUUUUGUACAUAGAUGGCUUCUGCUACUAGAGGAAGUGGAGAUGGUGGGGGCGAUCGUGGUUCCUCUAUCGGCAAGGGGAAAAUCAUAGUUGGCCCUCAGCAUAAGCCGAAGAAAAUGAGCGCGUUGGAAAAAGCAAUGCUUUGUUAUUUGCAACAACGUCAUGAAGAAGCUGUUGCCGUGGGUCAGGAACCUCCUUUUGGUGGUCGUUAUGCUUCACCCUCAGUCCCGGGUGUUUCACGUCCACUUAGUACUACCAUUUCAAGCGGCACAAAUAAACCUAAGGAUGAGGCUGGGUCAGCGGAACCUUCGUCUUCACCGCCCAAGGAUGCUUAAAGUCCUCCUAGAUAAUAACCAGUGGAUGGCUUGUUGUAUUGUAUCAUGUUGUUUGGAGCCUUAAUUUAAAUAUGUGUAUUUGGAUCUUCAUGUUGUUGUAUUGUAUCAUGUUGUUUGGAUCUUUAAUCAAUUUUCACGUGUAAUCCAUUGUCAAGUGUAAUCCAUUUUCAUGCGUAAUACGAUGCAGAUGGACCAGCAAUGUGUUUAUUGAUGGCUUGCAUUAUUUUCUCGAAGUGGCCAAAGCGAACAAGCCAGAGAAUGGGUUCGUAUGUUGUCCAUGCUUCCAAUGCAAUAACAAGGAGUAUUCAAAGGAUUCCUGGGGGACUAUUCACAGCCACUUGUUUAAAUACGAUUUCAUGCCUAACUAUUUGGUUUGGACCAAGCACGGUGAACGAGGGGUUGUAAUGGAAGAUGCCGAGGAGGAGGAGGAGGAAGAUGACAACAUUCCGGACUGGGUUGCAGGCCAAGCUUUUGCAGAUACUACAAUGGGCGAGGCUGAUGAAGAUGAGUUUGCAGAAAAUGACCCUACUGAUGACCUUGGUCAGGUGAUACGAGAUGCAUACAGAAAUUGCGAAACUGAGACGAAAGCAGCAAAGUUGCAGCGCAUGAUAGAUGAUCACCAAAAAUUGUUGUACCCAGGUUGCCAGCAGGGCCAUAAAAAACUAGGUACGACACUAUAAUUUGUGCAAUGGAAGGAAAAAAAUGGUGUGUCCGGUAAGGCAUUUCAGGGGAUGUUGAACAUUGUCAAGAAGAUUCUUCCCGAGAAUAAUGAAUUACCGUCCACAACAUAUGAAGCUAAACAGAUUAUUUGCCAUAUCGGAUUGGAUGUUCAGAAGAUACACGCAUGCCCUAAUGACUGUAUCCUCUAUCGUGGUGAUGAAUACGAGAAAUUGGAUGUUUGUCCCGUCUGCGAAGCGCUACGGUAUAAGAUCAGGCGAGAUGAUCCGGGUGAUGUCGAGGGGUAGUCUCCCAAGAAGAGAGUUCCCGUGAAGGUGAUGUGGUAUUUCCCUAUAAUACCACGCUUGAAGCGCUUGUUCAGGAACAGGGUGAAUGCUAAGUUGAUGCGAUGGCACAAAGAAGAACGUAUGGAAGAUGAGAUGCUGAGACACCCCGCAGAUGGGGCCCAGUGGAGAUCAAUUGAUAGAGCAUUCCCGGACUUUGAAAGUGAAGCAAGGAACAAAAGGUUUGGUUUAAGUACUGAUGGAUUCAAUCCAUUCGGUGAGUUGAGUAGUGGCCAUAGUACUUGGCCUGUGACCCUAUGUAUGUUCAAACUUCCUCCUUGGCUGUGCAUGAAGCGGAAGUUCAUUAUGAUGCCAGCGCUUAUCCAAGGCCCAAAACAACCCGGCAACGACAUUGAUGUGUACCUAAGACCAUUGGUUGAUGACCUUUUACAGCUCUGGAAGGAAGAAGGUGUAUGUGUGUGGGAUGAGGAUAGACAAGAGAUCUUUAAUCUACGAGCAUUGUUGUUCGUAACCAUCAAUGAUUGGCCUGCACUGAGUAACCUUUCGGGACAGACAAAUAAGGGAUAUCGGGCAUGCACCCACUGUUUAGACGACACAGACAGCAUGUAUUUGAAGCACUAUAAGAAGGUCGUCUAUAUGGGUCAUCGUCGAUUUCUCUCUGCUCACCACCAGCUGAGAAAGAGCGGGAUGCAUUUCAAAGGGGCGCCAGACCAUCGUAAAAAACCUGCACACCGUAAUGGAAAGCAUGUCUUCGAGAUGAUGAAGGAUGUAAAUGUAGUCUUUGGAAAGGGUCUUGGUAGCCAACUUGUUCCGAACGACAAUAACGGACAUGCACCCAUGUGGAAGAAAAAGUCAAUAUUUUGGGAGCUACCUUAUUGGGAAAUCCUAGAGGUUCGCAACGCAAUAGACGUGAUGCACCUGACGAAGAAUCUUUGCGUGAACGUGCUAGGCUUCAUGGGUCUUUAUGGGACCUCGAAAGAUACAUUGGAAGCACGACAGGACCUGAAAGCCAUGGGGCAAUGAGAUGACCUACAUCCAGAAAAGAGCGAUAAUGGACAGCACUACUUACGUCCUGCUAGUUACACUCUCAGCAAGGAAGAGAAGGAUAGCAUGUUUGAAUGCUUGAAUAGUAUGAAGGUCCCGUCUGGGUACUCCUCGAAUAUAAAAGGAAUAAUAAAUAUGAAACAAAAGAAGUUUACAAAUCUCAAGGCCCAUGACUACCACAUGUUGAUGACCUAAUUGCUUCCGGUUACACUGAGGGGUGUUCUACCAGAAAAUGUCCGGUUGCCGCUAGUAAAGCUAUGCACGUUUCUCAAUGCGAUUUCGUAGAAGGCAAUCGAUCCAUCCAAGCUAUCAAAGCUACAAAACGAUGUGGUGCAAUGUCUUGUCAGUUUUGAGUUGUUAUUUCCACCAUCCUUCUUCAAUAUUAUGACACACUUACUAGUUCACCUAGUAAAAGAGAUUGGUAUUCUCGGGACCUGUAUACCUGCACAAUAUGUGGCCUUUCGAGAGGUUCAUGGCACUCCUAAAAAACUAUGUUCUUAAUCGUGCCCGUCCAGAAGGAAGCAACGCCAAGGGAUAUGGAACAGAGGAGAUGAUUGAGUUUUGUGUUGAUUUUAUUGAUUCAAUUGACUCGAUUGGGGUUCCAACUUCACGCCACAAGGGGAGGCUCCGGGGUAUAGGCACCCUUGGAAGGAAAUCAAGUUUCAACAAUGAUAUUGAUUUGUUUGACAAGGCACACUACACUGUUCUACAACAGUCAUCCUUUGUGUCUCCGUAUAUCGAGCAGCACAGGCAGAUGGUAGUUUCCAAAAACCCGACCAAAUCCGAUGCUUGGCUUACCCGUCAUUACAUGGAAACUUUUCUCUCCUGGUUGCGCCAACAACUUGUGGGUAACUCUGAGAUUCACCCACAGCUUGCUUGGUUAGUCAGGGGACCUGCUAGCACAAUCGUGAAAUUCCAAGGCUAUGAGAUAAAUGGUUAUACAUUUUACACGAGAGCCCAGGACCAGAAAAGCACGAACCAGAAUAGUGGUAUCCGCAUAGAUGCUAUAGAUAGAAAUAAUAGCAAGGAGUCGUAUUAUGGUUUCAUACAGGAGAUAUGGGAACUCGAAUAUGGACCACUGUACAUCCCUCUAUUUCUUUGCAAUUGGGUGAAGCUAACUACCGUAACCAAAGAUCAGUACGGAAUGACAAUAGUAGAUCUGAGCAAGACUGGUGUUGGGGGGAAAUAUUAAUGACCUUCUAAAAGCCCAUUAAAACAACAAACAUGAAGGCUCAGGCCCACCUGAGGUAAUAAAGACUACCGUCGGCCCAACAUGGGAGGGGAGAGCUCCGCUCCGCCUCACCCGACCCAGUGCCCCAGGGUCGGACGCUCCCGACCCCUUGAUGACCAAACUCCGCCUCGCCCGACCCACGGACCCAGGGUCGGGAGCGCCCGACCCCACAUCGCAAGACUCCGCCUCGCUCGACCCAGGGCGCGGGGGGUCGGACUCACCCGGGCCCACCAGACAAGUAUCCGCCUCGGGCGCGGAUCUCGUGGGCCCCCCUGUCGAUCUCGCCAUAAAUGCGCCGCAGCUUUGGCGUGAAGAAAGGCGCUUGCGCCCCCGACGCGACCCGCCACAAGUACCCACACGCGACCGCACGGCAUAGGCUACAGUGGCUGCGUCUCUCUCUGAUUCGCUACAGGGCACUCAUGGCCUGCGCCGCCUGGAACAGGAGGAAGCCCCUCCCGUCCUCAGGCCCCACGCAUCCGAUGACGGGGACACAACGUCUGCAUUCCGUGGGCCAUCAGUAAGAUGGUAGGAUCAGCCGCCUUCCCCGACGAGCACAGAUGCCACGGCCGAACACCAUCAUCAUGCCUGGCGGCAACAACCACCAAGGAAAUCGACGACAGGACUCGAAGGCAACCGCCCUCUCCCGGUGGACGUGCUGACAGGAGCCGAAGGCCGGAGAGGACGCCGGCGACCUGGGGACUUGGUCCCUCCCCUUGUGUUGUAUUUUACUUGACUUAGCUUAUCUUUUUUACUUCUCCACACAUCCAGUCUCGCUUGUAACCCCGGUGGCCUCCUUGCGCUAUAAAAGGAGAACCGGGGGCCCUGAGACAGAGGAGACAGACUCUCAAGCCAACUGCACCCACACACACACUCUCUCCUUCAGAGCAUUAGUGCACACCCAAGAGACUUGGGACCAGCUCCCUGUCUCGCCCUCCUGUAACCCCUACUACAGACCCCGCAUGGGCAACACGAGCAGCACCUCAUACUGGACGUAGGGCUUUCCUUUGCCCGAACCAGUCCAAACCCCGUGUCUCCCAUGCCAUCAUCCGAAGCCUUACGCGCAUAAACGAAAUUCACUAGUCUUAGUCUCGAUCCGCUAAUCUUAACAACGACAACUGGAUACAGUGAUGACCUAUUCGUACUUGCCAAUGAUGUGCAUCAGGUGUUCUAUGUGAAGGACAUGUGUAGCAAACCUAAGAGAAAUCCAGAAGAGACAUGGGAGCCAAAGUGCCACAUAGUUCUUCCAGGUAAAAGAAAAAUCGUAGGAGUCGAGGAUAAAACAGACCAAUCAGAUGAUUAUGCUCAGUUUGAUGGCACACCUCCAUUCGCAGUUGAAGUUGAUCCAAGCAUCCUGCUAUCCAGAGAAGAGGCUCCGUACUUACGCCGCGAUCAUGAUCAAGGAACUUUCAUGAAGAAGAAAUUUUACAACGUUGUAUUGUAAUGCGCUAAAUUUAUAUGACCUUUGUGUAGUACUUGAUACAAUUUUUAAUUUACCCUAUGUAUGAUUUCAUGUGUUCUUACAUUUGUUAGGUGAAGAUUUAUUAGAUAAACAUGAACAAUGUUAACCACAUACAUACAUGGAUUUUUUUGCACCUUGAAAUUAUUGAAUUGCAUAAUUUCUUGAUCACAGCGAUGCAGUAAAAUAAAUAUUUUAGAGGUGUUGGCGCUAGAAAUUGGCCGAUUGGAUCUCUAGCGUCGGACACACGACCUGGGAGAAUCUGCUUAACUCUUGUUCGGGUGAUCGCCCUGGUGCGGUUCGCGCGGCGUGCCAGCCAAUUUGACCUGUUGAUUGGCAAGGAAAGAAACGUGUCAGAUCCCGGAGGUCGCGAUCGGCUAAGAUUCCGAUCUCGAGAAAGCUUAUCAGCGAAUCGGCCGAUUUGCUGUAAUAAAGAAAUCGGCUAUAAUACAGCCGAUCACCAAAUAACGUUGGUGGAAAAUACUGUUAAAGUAAACCAAGCAACGCUACAGUAGCAACACCAGGAACAGACCUAGUCAGCUAUGCAAAUAGUGGUAGAUUUAAGCAAUAAAAUAUAAAUAAGCCGAAAGUUCUAAUUCCAAGCUGGAUAACUGGUGAUAAAACUAGAACAACAGGUAAAACCUAGAACUCUAGUAAAUAUCGAUAACUAGUGAAUAAAUCUAAACGAAACGACAGCGAUACGCCCGAAGUUAAAACUUAGAUAUUACUCGAUAAGCGGAACUUACAGAAUCAGCCGGAGAUCAAGUUGAUGCAGCCCCACCAACCCGCACGAACUCGUGAAAAGAAGAAAAGUAUGGGCGAAGUCGCCUGCUUGAAAGUAAAGUGCGAAGAAAUAGUAGGUUGUUGUAUUGUUUUGAUGAUGAUUACACAUCUAUGAAGGCGGCUAUUUAUAGCCUGUUACGACCAAUCUCUUAACCGACUAGGACUCUAUCUCUAAUUUUAAACGAAAACAAAUAUUUACAAGUAUGAUUCGUAUUGGAGUUGAUCAUCGCGCUCCCAUGGGCCGAUCUGCUCUUUAUCUUCAUAGUUCAUGUUAAGCCCAUAUUGGCCCAAUUGCUCCAGCCUCCCAAUCGGCCGAUUUCCACCAACCCCAUCCGCCAAAAUACUGCAGCACCAAUCGGCCGAUCUUCAACUGCAGCACCAAUCGGCCGAUUCCCAAUCGUGACCUCCGUGUUUUGCUGCAUCUCCUGAUUUCUUCCCUUCUUGACGCCGAUUUCAUACGUGUCAAAAUCUGGCGUCAACAAAUGCCCCCCAGGUUCGGAGUAAAACAUAAUCUUUACUUCGAAAUUCCUUUCAACUUCCUUUCCGAAACAAACGCAUUGAAAAUAUCCUUCCGUUUCGUGGUCUCCAGUCUGAUGAUUGCAAUCUUUUCGAAACGGGCGCCCACGACAACCACUCCUCCUAAAAAAAUCAAAAUGCCGGCGCGGUAAAAAUUCCGCUUUUACCCCUUCUCAGACCACCUUUAAAUAUCAGCACGUCCCGUACUCUUCUUCACGAGCUCACGUCUUCCUUCUUUAGCGCACUGAUCUUCUCCUUCCUCCGGCACCUUCCUUAGCCUCCAGUCUUUUUCUCCGUCAUCUCCUUCCAUCUACAUUCCACCCCAUUCUUUCAAUGGCGACACCCUUAGGCACCUCACCAAUGCCCGAAGCCCAAGAGAUGGCUCCACCAGCAGCAGCUCCAGCGACAAUGGCGGUGGCUCCAUCGGCGGGAGUUGGAGCUUCGACCGAGGUCCCAUCAGUGGCUUUAGCAUCCAUAGCUCCACUAGCGAUCCUGCCAACCACGAUGAGCUUCAUCCCGGAGGUUGUUAGUGAAACUUCUCUUUCUUUAAUAACAAUGCAUUUACUUUAGAUCCGUUCUUACUUCCGCCCCCUUUUUUUCCUUUUUUAGGCGGUUAGGCAUCAGAUUACCAUUCGCCUCACCAAAACUCCUGGCCUUAUCUAUCUUGGUCCCAUGGGAAACCCAGAUCCAACCAACCUAAUCAAUUUGGAAACCCAUAGGAUCCCUUUCAAGCAAUCAACCAUGGACCUAGAUCACUGGUCAGGUACCUUCAGAUCAUGGCCGAAUGAAACCCCCGGCUGGAGAGAAUGGUACCAAUGGAUAGCCGCCUCCAAGAGAGUCCAAUGGAAUGAGCACAAAAUCGGAUAGUGCAUUGAUCUGUCCUUAUCCCAAAUGGAAAGGAACGGGCCCUUAGUGAUAGCAGCCUCCUAUUUUUGGUCCGAUGCCCUCAACGCAUUCCUCUUCGGACACGGGCCUAUGACCCCCACCCUGGCCGAUGUGGUCAUGUUGACCGGCCUCGACAUCUCCUCCCCUGACACUCCUUUCCAUUAUCUAGCCAAAAUGUCUCAUCAGCUGGAUACAAAAGGAAUCGGCGGAUGGAAAGGAUUCAUCAAAUGCAACAGAAGGGCCGGGACAGUCGAAAAUAGAGAACAUGCGGCCUUCCUGAUGAUGUGGCUGGAGAAACACCUUUUCUGCGGGAGAGCAGCUGGUCCAUCUACUAACACGCAGGCUCUAGCUGAGGCACUAUCGAUAGGGGCCUCUGUUCCUCUUGGAAAGCACUUAUUGGGAUCGGCCUACCAUAUGCUGCACCAGAUUGGCGUCAAGCUAUCCAAAGGAGAGCCGAUUGGAAACCCAGGUGGACCCUGGUGGUUUAUCAACUUGUGGCUUAAUCUGUACAUGAGCAAGAUCUCCUAGCAGCGAGUGGAGCACAUGAUGUUCCCCAACAUCGAAUCGGCAAAGAAUCCCACUGUCCGACGCCGAUGUACGUCCUUUGGCGAAGCGGCAUCGGCCUUUUCUGGCUGCUCAUACUCCGCUACCAAGGUGGUCGAAUACUUCAGAUGCUUCUACAAUGGCUUCAGCGAAGACGCAACCAGCUGGUUCCCUUAUCAGAGGGAGGAACCACUCUUCGAACUCCCUUCCUGUUUUGACUCAGCCACUAGCAAAUUUGAUGAAGAUCUCACAGAUGAAUUAAUCAAGCCGGGGAUCUUACUGGCAAACUUCUUCUCGGGGAAAGAUGCCCCUACUUAUGAGUUUUACAACCCCUCCGUCGCAGCACGGCAAUUCGGCCUGGGUCAACUGCCGAUUUAUGCAUAUUUUGCCGGCCGAGCAAAAUUCAGAGAUGAGCUUACCAAGGGCCUGGACUACAGCCGGCUGCAUGAUCGGAUCCCAGAUUCCAGCACCAUAGAUCUGACCGGUUGGAUAGUAGCCCCUUUCGCCGUUCAGCAAUUCAAGUUAUGGUGGGCCGAAUGGAAACAGUACUUGUUCUGCGCUUCUGCGGCGGUAUAUUGCAAUCUCCUAGAUCCAGACAACAUCGAUUCAAAUGCCGAGGUAUCUCUCUCUUUUUGGCCGAUUUUCAUCCCCUUUCUUUUUUUUAUAUAUACUGACUCUUAUUAUUACUUCAGUCUGAGAGCCACGCUCCCCCAAAACGCAGCCGGAGUGGUCGGCCGAUAGAGGACCGUUAUCCAUACACAGCAUUCCCCCUCAUCGGCUAUCACGCCCCUUCUGUCGAUGACAUAGCCGGCCGAGCGAAACAGGCGUAGAAGAAGGUCAUCAAGAAAACAAGUAGCCGAGUGCGUGCCCGCACAGAAUCGGCCGAUCCACCCGCGGUUGCAUCGGCAGAAAUUUCGGCUGCGCCAACCCUUCCGGCUGAUGAAGAAGUCGACCUUCAAGCCGCUACAGAAGCCGGAGCAGCCGCCGCGUCAUUAUUGGUGGAAGAUAUACAGGUAAACUCACCAUCCGAUUUUCCUGAUCGUCAUUUCAAUACUGACCUUUCCUAUAUUAGGCCGCACAGACUGGCCUAGUAAAUCCUCAGCAAUCGGCGGCGCCCCAAGCAGCUGUUGAAAUGCCAGUGCCCCCUCCCGUUGAGGUACACGAUCUUUCAACUCAGUUCUCUAAUAUUCGAAUGAUGAUCUUACCAGCUUCGACGCAGGUUACCGGUACGUUAACCACGCUAUCCGACCAGCCAUCGGUCACCCCUCAAGAGGCUGGCCCAAGCAGAACGCCGAUUGUCGUUGAGUCCUCCUCUUCCGAUGAGCCAAUGGUACCAGUUCCAGAGUCAAGAGUGGUGGCCCCGCAAACGCAGAUGGAAGAGACCCGCUUUAAAGAAGUAAGAAAUCACCCAAUCCUUAUUGGCCGAUUUGCUACCACCAUUGGCUGACUUAUUUUUCAUUUAUUAUUUUGUAGGAACAGGAUACUCCCAAUAACAGCCUCUUCUCAUUUGCGGUCGCGCUCUCUGAUGACGAGGAAGUUGCUUCCCGUCAAGUUACUUUGAGCUCCGUCCCUGAUGACGUCCGUGCUAAGCUCGAAAGCAUACGGUCCCUUCUUCAAGAGGACAUCGGCCGAUUGGUGGAGGAUGCCUCGCCGAUUCGGCAGCUCUUCAGUGACGUCAGCGGGCGGGUCCCAGAGGAAGCAUAAGAAGCCUUGGCGCCGGCCGCUUACAUUGAGUCGAUGCAGAUCCCGGUCUUCAGGGCUCUGCGUCACAUGGCCGAUCGCACCAAGCAGGCCAAGACUCGUGAGGAAGAGAACUCGUACAAGCAUCGGGCCCAGGAGGUACAUCAUUAGAUUCAUUUCCUCGAGAAUUCCCGACCCGGACUCGUCGGCAUGAUAGAUCACCUCAAGCGUCAAAGAGCGGAACUUACCAAAGAAAUAGCUAUCGAAGAGAAGAAGCUUCAAGAACUCCCCUCCGUCAUCGCCGAUUUGAAGCAAGAGAGGCAGCAUCUGGCCCACGAAGCCAUUAGACUUCAUCGCCAUAUGUCAGAAGUUCCAGGGUCGGCAGAGGAUGACUAACGGGUCUUGGACUCGGCCGAUCAGAUCAGGCGUCGAGCGAUUGCAGCCAUUAACGCCCUUCUGGGCGAUCUGUAAAAGUACUGGCCGUUCUGUAAGAACAUUAAUGCGGCGCCCUCUUACUUAUUCCCCUUUUUACUCUGACGGGACGUGUCUUACCAAACCUCUGCGCUUUCUCUACUUAUAAAUACCGGCCCUGGUUUCGCUCUUGAGAAUACCUGCUCCACUUGAUUCCUUUUUUCCCGAUUUCGUUUCCAUCGGAGCGUUUGUAGCUAUGUCUUCCUCGUCUUCUUCUUUCUCCUCUCCCUCUGUUAAUCAGGUAUGAGAUCCGUCUCCACUUUUUUCAGUUCGAUUCCUUUAAAUCACCCCAACUUUUGGGCGGUUAUAUGUUGAUUUUCUCAGCCAAGGCGCCUUAGCCCUGAACUCAAACGAGCAAUCGAACUCGUGUAUUCUGACGAGCCGUUAUCGCAAGAGGACAAGGACCUGAUUAAGGCACACCGUGAAGAACUUAGAGAUCACGUCCCUACCGACGUCCAACGGAUCUGGGACUUCAUCGACGGCAAUGAUUACGGGCGACCUCAAGUUGACAAGAGCCACCCACUUUCUCGUCCGGUUGCCCUUGAAGACGCCGCGGCUGGGACAUCGCGCCCGGUGAUGGAUCGGAGCCAUCCUCUCCCUCGCCAAGUUGAGGCGGAGGCCGCGAUGAAAGAUGUGGAAGAAUGAAGCAUCCGCCUUCUGAUAGAAUUAGGUCGGAUUGAGAGAGAACAUAAGAAUAAGCACAAUUGAGUAUUUUUGUUCUAAGGGAGACUUGUACUGCGUCGGCCGUGUAAUUCAUCGUCCAUACCGAAUGACAAAUCGGCCAAUUUGAACGAUUAUUUUUCUCCUUUAGGCAAUUUUUUUAUUCCGUAUCGGCUGUGUGUUUGUUCAGGGAGAAGUCCCUUUGUCUUGUCAUACUCCGCGGUCGAUUCUUAUGCUCCGACCCAUAUACUGGGGUAAUACCUUUUCAAGUACCUCCCGUUCAAGGCCCUAGUAAACUCCUCUCCUUCGAUCAUUUCCAGAAUGUAAGCGUUUCCCGGGGCACAUCGGCCGAUUCUAUACGGCCCUUCCCAAGUGGGAGACCACUUAUCGAAUUUAGGAUCCUUUGACCCAAUCGGUAGCACUAACUUCCAUACCAGAUCUCCUUGGGAGAACUGCUUGACUUUGACGUUCUUAUCAUACCAUCUGGCCACUUUCUUUUUGUUUUCUUCGAUACUGAUCAAAGCUCUCAAUCGUUGACCUGCCAAAUCGUCAAGUUCCCUUUUCAUGAGCGAGGAGUAUUCAUCGGCCGUCAGCUGAUCUUGGAGCGAUGUGCGUCUCGAUCCUGUUCUCAACUCCCAUGGCAAUACCGCCUCAUGGCCGUACACCAAUUGAUAAGGAGACACCUUGGUAGCCCCGUGGCAAGCCAUCCUGUAUGCCCAUAGAGCUUCGGUUAGACAUAAAUGCCAUUUUUUGGGUUGUUCUUCGAUCUUCCUCUUGAUCAACUUAAUUAUCCCUUUAUUGGAAGAUUCGGCCUGACCAUUAGCCUGAGCAUAGUAUGGGGAGGAAUUUAGCAGCUUGAUCCCCAUAUCGGCCGUGAACUCCUCGAAUUCUCCCGACGUGAACAUCAUUCCUUGAUCGGUUGUGAUAGUCUGAGGGAUGCCGAAAUGAUAGACAAUAUGGUCCCUUACGAAAUCGACCAUGGCGGCCGACGUUACGGCCUUUAAUGGAAUCGCCUCCACCCAUUUGGUGAAAUAAUCUGUGGCCACUAGAAUGAAUUUAUGUCCUUUACUUGACGGAGGAUAAAUUUGUCCGAUGAGGUCUAUUCCCCAACCUCUGAACGACCACGGCUUGAUAAUUGGAUUCAUAGCCGAUGCGGGCGCGCGUUGUACAUUCCCAUAUUUCUGACAAUCUUGGCAUCCUUUGUAAUACUUGAAACAAUCUUCAAGGAUUGUCGGCCAGUAAUAUCCAUUAUUCCUAAUCAUCCACUUCAUCUUAUGCGCCGAUUGGUGGGCUCCACACACCCCUUCGUGGAUUUCUCCCAUCAGGGUCUUUGCCUCCUCCGUCCCUAGACAUUUUAGUAGAACACCAUCAAUCAUCCGGUAGAACAAGUCAUUUUCUAGUAACACAUAUUUUGUGGCCUGAAAUCGUACUCGCCGAUCCACUUUCUUAGACGGAUCUUUUAAAUAAUCGGCGAUCUCUUUUCACCAGUCGUCGGCCGCGAGCUCCAGAACCAUGGCGCCCUGAAUCGGCCGAUACCCGGACACAUGCUGGACAAGCCUGUUGGCCUCUUCGUUAUAAUCCCUGGGAAUAUGCUCAAUAAUCGCGGACUUGAAUUCCUUCAGAAGCUGGAGGCAAUCUUCGUAAUAAAUCCUUAAUAUGUCAUCCUUGCACUCGGAUUUUCCUGUUAAUUGGUCCACGAUGAGCAUGGAAUCUCCAAAAAUCUCGACGGCAUCGGCCUUAAUCUCUCUCAGCAAUUGUAACCCUUUUAACACGGCUCGGUACUCUGCUUGGUUAUUGGUGGUGGAUGCUUCUAUCGGCAGAGAGAAAUCAUAACUUGCCCCCCGAGGCGAUAUGAGAAUGAUGCCGAUUCCUGAUCCGGCCCCACAUGACGAACCGUCAAAAUAUAAGGUCGACAGUACUGGUUCCACAACGGCGAUUUCUGGUCCGCAGUGCUGGGCGACGAAGUCGGCCAUAACCUGACCCAUGAUGGCUUUUGCCGAUUCAUAUCGUAGAUUGAACUCUGAUAAAGCCAAGAUCCAUUUUCCGAUCCGUCCUUUCAAAAUCGGCAAUGACAGCAUGUAUUUUACUACAUCGUCUUUGCAUACGACUACACAUUCUGCCGAUAACAAAUAGUGUCUGAGUUUGGUGCAUGAGAGGUAAAGGCAUAGGCAUAGCCGCUCUACCGGGGGAUAUCUUGUUUCGGCGUCCAGAAGUCUUCUGCUAACAUAAUAUAUUACCCGUUCCUUUCCUUCAAACUCCUGGACCAGAGUCGACCCGAUAGCUCGUUCAUCGGCUGAUAAAUACAGCUUAAAUGGCUUACCAGUUUGAGGUGGGACCAAUACUGGUGGCGAGACUAAGUACUGCUUGAUGUCUUCCAGCGCCUUGCGUUGCUCUUCUCCCCAUACGAACUCUUGGUCGGGUUUUAACUUUAACAACGGUGUGAAGGCCUGGAUACGUCCGGAUAGAUUGGAUAUGAAUCUUCUGAUGAAAUUGACCUUGCCGAUCAAGGAUUGCAAUUCAGUUUUAUUCUGUGGGGCCACGACUUUAUUGAUGGCCGCUAUGGUCUUCCAGUUGAUCUCUAUCCCACGCUCGUGAACCAUGAAUCCCAAGAAUUGUCCGGCGGAUACACCGAAAGCACACUUGUCCGGGUUCAUCUUCAGCCUGCUUUCUCGUGCAUUCCAGUACCUGCCGCAAAUCGGCCAGAUGUUCCUGGUGUCCUUUUGAUUUGACCCAACGUCGUCGAUGUAAAUUUCCACCAGAAUGCCGAUAAGUUUGUGAAAUAUGUAAUUCAUGGCUCGCUAAUAUGUAGCGCCGACGUUCUUCAAACCAAAAGUCAUUACCACUCACUUGAAUAAACCGAGGUGACCCGGGCACCUGAAAGCCGUUUUUGAUAUGUCCUCCUCGGCCAUUAGUAUUUGAUUAUAUCCGGCGUUUCCGUCCAUGAAACUAAUAACUUUGUGACCCGCGGCGGCAUCUAUUAGUACAUCGGCCGUCGGCAUUGGGUACCCGUCCAUCGGCGUGGCCUGAUUGAGGUUCCUGAAAUCGAUGCACACGCGCAGCUUCCCGUUCUUUUUAUACACGGGUACAAUGUUGGAGAUCCAUUCGGCAUAACGGCAUUGCCGAAUAAAUUUUGCUUCAAUUAGCCUCGUGAUUUCGGCCUUUAUAUCGGGUAGGAUUUUAGGAUUACACCGCCGUGCGGGUUGCUGAUAUGGCCGAUAUCCCGGCUUUAUGGGAAACCGGUGUUCGACAAUAGACAGGUCCAAUCCGGGCAUUUCAUGGUAUUCCCAAGCAAAGCAAUCUUUAAACUCUUUUAAUAAAUUUGUCAAUUUACAUUUGUAUUCCGGAUCCAAAUUAGCACUAAUGUACGUCGGCCUUGGAUUGGUGCCAUCGCCUAAGUCUAUCAUCUCUAAUGAAUCGGCCGACGUGAACCCGUGCCCUAGCUUCCCGUCUUCCCGGAUGAACUGAUCCAUUUGAUCUGAAUCUUCAGAGCCGACUGCUCGGAUCGGCUGUAGACCAAAAUCGGACACCUUCAGGAAAUCAGUGUCCCAUAUCUUCCCGGAUAUGCAUUUGACAUUCUCGCAGCUCCAUUGCUGUGUAUCGGCCGCUGCGAUGCUGUGUGCGGAAUCGGCGGUGACCACUUCGAUGUUGUCGCCGACCACUGCACGAGGCAUUGGUGCAUUGUAGAUGGGAUGCAGCAAUUUGCGUGUAUCCAGUCUCGGCCGAGUAGCAUGUUGUAGGACCCUUUACCAUUAAUAAUAAAGAAAGUAGUGGGAAGAGUCUUACUGCCAAUGGUGAGGUCGACGCAGAGCGCGCCGCGGGCGGGAGACACGUUGCCUUCGAAGUCUUUGAGCAUCAUGUCCGUCUUGGUCAAAUCGUCAUCACUUUUUCCUAGCUUCCGGAACAUGGUGUACGGCAUGAUGUUGACAGCAGCUCCUCCGUCCACUAGUAAUCUGGUGAUGGGUCGGCCGUUGACAUGUCCCUUGAGGAUUAAUGCCUUGAGGUGUUGCCGCUUGUCGUCCUAGGGUUUCUCGAAUGUGGCUGUCAUUGGCUCCAAAGCCAAUUGCGCCAUCUAUUUUUCUAUUGCCGACAUGUUGUGUCGGUCGGCAGGAGUCAUGAAUUCCAUUGGCAGAAUAAAAACCAUGUUGACAUCAGCUGCCGAUUCCUGGUUGUUGUCAUCUUCCGUGUCGUUUCUUUUGGGGCGCCAAAUCCGAGGCCUGUCGUUUUUCUUGUCCAUCAUAUGUUGUUGCUUUUCUUCCUGUUGUUCCCAUUGGCGGAGACGUUGGAUUCUUCGUUUUUGAGAUUUAGUCAAUCCGUCAGGGCACCACCUGGGAUUUACAGGUUUAGUCAAUGGUUUGGCGCGUUCCCUUUCUGGCUCGCGUCCCAAGGGAUUCUCGUCUGAUACCCGAGCAUCGACCAUCUCUUCUAGCCGAUCAUGAGCGCUGACUCUGUCUUCUGGUUGGUCGCGCCGAUCGAAUCUGCCCCCCGGCCUAUCGUUUCGCUCACGCCUGUCUUCCGACCAGUUAUAUCGGUCACUUCUGCCCCCCAGCCGGUCCUCUUGCUCGCGCCAGUUCCUGCUGAUCGGCUCUGGCCUUCCGUCUCUGGAGCGAGACCUCCUGACUGGCCGAUUGUUACGAUAUGGGCCAUUGCACUCAGGGCAAUUAUCGGCCGACGGCAAUCUAAGGUUACUCUCCCAGCAGUGGAUGAAGAAUGGGCAUCGCCAGUGAUCUUCAUGUCGUCGCAUCAUCUCCUCCCGGAAUCUUGAACUUUCCUGUUGUCGUUGAUACUUGUUGAGCAGAAAUUGGGAGGUGAUGGGCCUGCGUAGUUCUCCCGAUCCUUCGCCUUCAUCCUCCAUCCGUCGUUUCCCCUUGAUGUCUUCGGGCGCCACUUGAUUUGGGGUCUACGGUGCCGCUCUUUUUAGCCGAUUCAGAUGUUAGCACCUUGGUCUGGAGUGAGUUCCUUCCCGUGUCAACCAUGUUGGUGGGGAAAGGAUGUUGAUCAAUCUUCAUCGGCUUUGCCGGCUUUGUCGGGACUUCAAAUUUGAGCCUGCCCUGCUCGAUGGCCGAUUGAAUUUGCUGUCGGAAGAUUUUGCAUUCGUUUGUAUCCUGGGAGGUGGCAUUAUGCCACUUGCAAUAUUUCAUCUUCUUCAGCUGUUCGGCUGACGGGAUCGUAUGGUACGGUGAGAGCUUGAUUUGUCCUUCCUGAAGGAGAAGAUUGAAAAUUUUAUCGGCCUUUGAUGUGUCGAAACCGAAUGCCUCUGGCUCCUUUUUUCUGAACGGACAUGAUCUCAGCUUUUUUCCUUUAACCCAUUCCGCUAGGCCGAUUUCUGUUUCUUUUUCGGACUCGGCCCCUUCCAAGUAAGCCACCUUUUUCUGGAAAUUCCUUCACUGGUCAAAGGAGCGUACUUCCUGACCAGACAAACGAUGCACGAUUUGGCUCAGGCUCUCAAACUCCUGUGAAGCAUAUUUCUCUUUGAUAUGAGGCAGGAGACCCUAGAAGGCUAUGUCAGCCAAUUGUGCGUCGGUCAGGGCUAGGGUGUAGCAUUUGUUCCUGAUCUCCCUGAACCUCUGCACGUACGUGGAUACUGGCUCAUCACUUCUCUGUCUGAGGCUGGUUAAAUCUGAAAGCUUCAUCUCGUGUACCCCUGCGUAGAAGUAUUUGUGGAACUGCUUCUCUAAGUCAGCCCAUGUAAUUAUUGAGUUGGGUGGCAGUGUAGUAAACCAUUGGAAGGCCGACCCGGACAGGGAUGACGAGAAAAGGCGCACCCGUAGAGCAUCUUGUGCAGCUAUCUCCCCACAUUGGAUGAUGAAUCUGUUCACGUGUUCCACAGUUGAGGUAUCGUCAAGCCCCGAAAACUUGGUGAAAUCGGGAACUUUGUACCGAUGGGGAAACGGCAGUAAGUCAUAAGUAGGCGGGUAUGGCGUUCUGUAUGUGUAGGUUUGCACCUUCGGUUUUAAACUGAAUUGCUCUUGAAUCACCUCCGCUAUGCGUGCCGUCCAGUCUGGUUGUUGCUGAUGGACUAUCGGCUAGGGAACCGGCACGUGUUGGUAGACCGGCGGCGGGAUGACCGGGUGGUGGACGAAAGCGUGCGGUGCCUGAUACGACGUAGCCGGCUGCGUAGUUGGCAUCGGUUGUCUCAGUGAACCGGCCAUUUCGUCAUAUAGUACGAUCGGCGCCGCGCCCCGAAGUGCUUCCGUUGCUUCUGCCCCCCUGCUCAUUUCCGGCGCGACUGGCUGAUACUGUGGCAUCAUCGGCCGUGCGGCCGAUUGGAAAGGUGUCUGGAUCGGAGAGCUUCCAUGGCUGGCCAAUUAAUCCUGGACGGCCGUCGCCGAUGGUGCCCCCCAAGGCACUGAAUUCGAAGGAGACAACUGCACGGAGGAUAACUGAAUGGAUUGAGGCUGGAGAUAUGGCGCGCCGUUAGGCCCCAGAGGGAUUGAUGAUGAAGGGAUGUUGGGACCUCCAGUCGGAGAUUGGAUCGGCUGAGGAGCCGAGUAGGGUAUACUUGGAUAACUCCUAGCCGUGAUAGGCGAGGCGUAUGCCGGCCCCUGGUAUCCUUGGGACACGCCGUUGGCCAAGGAGCUGAUGACGGCAUUAUAUACCGUAUUAGAAAUCACCGGGGAUUGAUCAAUGAAAGCUUGGUAGACGGAUUGUUGAACCAUCUCGAACAUCUUGCCCGAGUCCUCGGUGGUUGUGAUCUGGCGGGGAGUUGGAAACGGAGCCUUUUUGACAGUUUCUUCGCUCCUGGUACGACUGAAGGAUUGUAGACACGUCUUCCGGUAGUGUGCCAUCUGCUUUUCCAACUCUUCCUUCUGGUCGUCCCUGUGGUCAGCUUCCGUCACCUCGAUGAUGUUGUCUUCCAAGAUUUCGGCCGCUUUCGACAUAGUGGCAGUUGUAUUGGUCCCACUGGGCGUGCCAAAAGUGUGUUGGCGCUAGAAAUCGGCCGAUUGGAUCUCUAGCGUCGGACACACGACCCGGGAGAAUCUGCUUAACUCCUGUUCAGGUGAUCGCCCUGGUGCGGUUCGCGCGGUGUGCCAGCCAAUCUGACCUAUUGAUUGGCAAGGAAAGAAACGUGUCAGAUCCCGGAGGUCGCGAUCGGCUAAGGUUCCGAUCUCGAGAAAGCUUAUCAGUGAAUCGGCCGAUUUGCUGUAAUAAAGAAAUCGGCUAUAAUACAGCCAAUCACCAAAUAACGUUGGUGAAAAAUACUGUUAAAGUAAACCAAGCAACGCUACAGUAGCAACACCAAGAAUAGACCUAGUCAGCUAUGCAAAGAGUGGUAGAUUUAAGCAAUAAAAUAUAAAUAAGCCGAAAGUUCUAAUUCCAAGCUGGAUAACUGGUGAUAAAACUAGAACAACAGGUAAAACCUAGAACUCUAGUAAAUAUCGAUAACUAGUGAAUAAAUCUAAACGAAACGACAGCGAUACGCCCGAAGUUAAAGCUUAGAUAUUACUCGAUAAGCAGAACUUACAGAAUUGGCCGGAGAUCAAGUUGAUGCAGCCCCGCCAACCCGUGCCCGGACCGCCUCCUCCUCCAUCACCCCGGCCCAUCUCAAUCCUCCUCCGUCGCGCCCCCUCGACCUCGUCGCUGCCGGCCGCCUCCAUCGCGGGGCCUCGUCGCCGCCUCCGUCCUCGUCGCCGCCUCGUCGCCCCUCGUCGCCGACCGCCUCCGCCCAUCAUUUGCUUUGCUCUGUCCUCGCCUCCGCCAUCCCACCGUCCCGGCCACCGUCGACCGCGUGAGGUCCGCCGGCACUAGCGCCGGGAACGUACCACCUCGCUCCAUCCCCGUCGCCGCCGCCCCGGCCACCUCGUCGCCUAACCUAGGCAUCGUCGACCGCGCGAGGUCUGCCGGCACUGGCGCCGGGAAUGAAUUAGUUAUAAAAUCAAUAGAUAUUUGUAUAUUAGUUAGAAAAUCAAAUUAGUAGGAAUUAGUAGUAAUUAGUAGUAAUUUGCUAGAAAUUCCAAUAAAUAUGUAUAUAUUAGUAGAAAUUUGGUAGAAAUUCGUACAAAGUACUACUAAUUUGUUGAAAUUUGUAUAAACAUUCCAGAUUUUGUGGGAUUCAUGUAUUGUAAAAUUAGUAGGAAUUAUUAGUAAUUUGCUAGAAAUUCCACUAAAUAUGUUUAAAUUAGUAGAAAUUUUGUAGAAUUUUUUACAAAGUACUACUAAUUUGUUGAAAUUUGUAUAAACAUUCCAGACUUUGUGGGAUUCAUGUUAUUUUAUGAUUUCAUGUAUAUACCCUUAUAUACAUAUAACUAAGGUGAUUUCUAUGACUGUCAUAUAUGAUUCCAUGUAUGUUUCAAUCAAUAGUUGAAAUGGAAGACGACGAGACCGCAAGGUAUCUCAUGGAGCAGAUAAUCGCUGGUGAUGGUAGUGGCGACAACCUUCCACUAUCGUACACCAAUGAAGAGGGCACCCAGGCGGACAUGUUCUUCAACAUGUCCGCCGAUGGGAAUGAAGAGCAUGAGCCCCAGCAACACCUUGCCGUGGCGGAAGGUUCCGGCGAGGUAUAUAUAAAUUGUAUUGUUUCACACAACCGUUACUACUACGUACUAAUUAACGAAUCUUGAACUGUUAGCCCUCUGGGUCGACGCAAGGGCAGAAGACCCAAGGUCGUACAAAGGUGAUGGAAGGGAGGCUUGUCAUCACGGAAGUGACAGAAGAGGGCAGGCCAGUUGCUCCCGAGAAAGUAGCAAAGAAGUACGUGAGUCAGAUCGGGUCAAUCGUCCGGGACAACAUGCCUAUCAGCAUCAGAGAAUGGAAGGGCAGAAGCACUAAUCCGUACGCCCUCCUGGAGAUAGAAAAGAAUAUGCUGUGGGAAGAUGUCAAGAGACAUUUCACAUUCCCUAAAGGAUAUAUUGAAAAGAAUGUGAAAGCGUGGACGCUGAAGAAGAUGGCUACACAAUUCCAGACAUUCAAGAAGAUGCUGGAUGCCAACUACAUUAAGAAGGGCCGAACUCUAGACUUCAAUGCGUGGCCAAAGUUGAGGGACCACUAGGAGGCAUUUCUUGAAUAUAAGAGGAGUGAAGACGGGGUGAAAAAGAUCCUGACCAACACUACAAAUGCUGGUCAGAAGAGCUACCAUCAUCAUCUAGGGCGAGGUGGUUGUGGCACAGCAAUUCCCAAAUGGAGGAGAUGGAACAAGAUCUGAUCGAACGGGGAAUCGUACCUGCAACUUUUGAAUGGCCUGAAUGAUCAAAAAAUUGGUAUUACGCUCAUGGAGGCUCCCUGAGCCAAGAGGAUGGGACAUUGAUUUUCAAUGACACAAUACGUGAGAAGGCCGAACGUCUUAUGAAGAACAUUGAAGAUUCUAAGGCUGGGAGGUUGAAGGUGGACCGAGAGAAUGAUGAGCUCACAUUGGCCCUCGGUAAUCCUGAGCACCCAGGACAUUGCCGAGGGUUCGGGGUCAUUCCGUGGAAGUUUGCUUUCCGAGGUGACGGCGCAUCGUACAGAAGCCGCAAGCGAAGAAAGGAAUAGAUCGAGGAGAGUUGGCGGCAGAUGCUAGAAUCCAAAGUGCAGGCACAAGAAGAAAGAAUGUUGGAGGAAAUCAAUCGUCGAGUGGCCCACGUAGUUGCGGAGUUGGCCCAAUCUGGAGCAUUGCCAAAUCCAAACUACGCCAGCCCUUCUCAACGCCUCUUGAGCAGUUGUGCUUCUACAGGGGUCCCCGAUGCGCAAACUUCCACGUUACCCGUGGAGGAGCAACGGUUCCCCGUGGAUGCCAUCACGCAACGCAUCACAUGUGAGCUGCAUGCACCGGUCGGCAACCUCACUAUUAAGGUAUACUUAUACAUAAUAUUUAUGCAAUCUUGUCAAUUGAUCCAUGCCUCAUGAUCGGAGUUUAAUAACUUGUUUACUUCUACUAUAUGUACAGGUAGCGUACGAGAGUGCGUUAGCAACCCUUGCGGGGCAGAGCAGUCAUGGCAUGGAGAUUCCACCUGGCUACGCCAGCGUUCGCGUAGAGCAAAUUGUUGAUAGCCAAUAUGAAGGCCUAGAGCUCGACCUCCCGGGAGGCGACGAGGAAAGGACACUGGCAGAUGCGCUUCAUGGGAUCAUUCUAUGGUUAAAACGCUACAUCAUCAUUCCCAGCACGGAGCCAUCUCCUCAGAGCUCAAGACCGCUCCCCGUAGAUCCCUAGCGGCGACCUUCUCCUCAUAGCUCAAGAUCGUCAUCUCCUGCACAACCUGCUCCAGGACCGUCACUUCCUGCUAUAUCAAGGUCUCCAUCUCCACCACAUCCUGGUGGUGGGAGCGACGACGACAAUAACAACACCCCUCCCCGAUCACCGUCGCCGGGACCAAGACCAGCCCCCAUGAAGGAACCUGCAGCACCACUAAAGAAGUCACGAGCACCGCCUCCCAAGCAAAGAUAGAGAAAGAAGAAAACAAAGGAGCCUGAAGUGACUCGUAAGGAACGCUGGGAGGCAAUGACUCAUGCGAAACAGUGGGCAGAAAUCCAAUGAGAGGCCAGUAAGUGGUUCAAGAAACAAGUCGAAGAAAAAAAAAGCAAGGGAGAUUGAGCCACCGCUAGUAAAUCAAAGAGAUUUAAACUUUUUUAUCAGGAUGGAAGAAGGAGCCAAGAAAAGGAUACCACUCUUAUCGAACUAUGAACGGGCUUUAGUAAAGGCUGAUGAAAAGGACAAAAGGAAAGGAAAGUCAUCUUCCAGUGGUGCUGUCCCGGACCUCGGGCAUUUAUCAAAAAAAGACGCUUAAAGGGUAGCAGCAAUGCCCUUGGAUCAACAAGCAGAAGUAUUGAAAUUCAUGCAAGAAACAAGUCUGGGACUUGAUGAAUGCUUAGGGAAAGUUGAGACACCAACUGCACCGCUCCCUGAGCCGAGAUUGCCUUAUGAGCUAGGCAAACCUCUUGUAAGGCCUUCGUUGGUGCUAUCAACAAAGAUGUACGAAUUCCAUCAAUGGUACAUGAUGGCAUCCGCCGACUCGAGGGAGAUGUUCGGCCUUAAGGUAAAACCGAUAGAUUUUUACGGCGAAGGCGAGAAAGUGCUGAUGCCCUGGAUGUCUCUCUGAUCAGCGCUUGGGUUCUGUAAGUGUCCGUUUAUCUCUACAUGUAAAUUUUGGCGUGUGUCACCAUACUAACUUCGUCUUCCAUUUUAUGUAGGAUGCUAAUUCAGACGUGCCGACGAGAGGCGUACCUACAUAUAGGCUUCAUGGAUCCAUCUGUAGUUAACCAAAAACAGAUACAAUUAUCGCCGGAAAAAAUCUUGGUGGAAGUAUACAAUUUCCUAGACAAACAAACAUUCAAGGAUUUCAUACUACUUCCGUACAACUUCAAGUAAGUGUGUGUAUACCGUCUACUUUCGUUGUCUUUUUCCUUACCUGAUUAAUGUUAGUUAGCUCUAAUAUGCAUGAACAUUUUACGUACGCAGCUUCCACUGGAUCCUUAUUAUAAUUGAGCCUAAAAGAAGCCACGUCAUUGUCUUCGAUUCGUUGAGGAAAGAUCCGGUGGAGUACCAAGACAUGCAAGACAUGCUAGGCUUGUAAUAAUUCUGGACCUUUAUCUCUAUGCAAAAGUUUGUUUCCUAAAUUUUAUCCCUGUUACACUAUAUCAUUCAUUAUUCUAAUCCGCAGCGCAUGGAAACAAUUCAUAAGGACACACAAAGGUCCAUUCAAAGAAAAACUUACAUGGAACACAGACUUCCCGGUACGUAUGAAGUCUGCACAUUUAUUACAUUGUAUAACACAAAUAUUUCAUAACUUAUUUUUUUCCGCACUGAAGUGCUUAAGACAGGAACCCGAAAAUAAUCUAUGUGGCUACUACAUCUAUGAGCACAUGCACAGUUUUAUGGGACCCAAGGGACUAAAGAUGACGCCGCACAACUUUACAGUACGUAAAAUAAAACUAUUACUAGUUAAUUAUUUUCUAGCUCCUUAUAUUUAUUUGUUCGUGUAACAUUCACAAAUUUCCAAAUUAUAGAUUUUAAAUAUUCAACAAAGACUCUUGAAGGAAGAAAGAGUAGUGGCAAUAUGUGAAGGUCUCAUUGGAUUCCUAAUGGACGAGGUGGUAAAUCCAAAAGGAGAAUUUUAUUACGAUGGACGACAAUUAGACGCUCCGAGCAGCAACACCUCGACGGGAAGAUUGUAGAUAUAUAGUUUGAUUUAUUUGUAUAUAUAAUACGCGCUAAUUAUGAUCGAUUUGUACUAGUUGAAUUGUGUAGUUGAAUUGUGUAUAUGAAUUGUGUAUAUAUAUAGUAAUUGUAUAAUUACAAAUUUCAUUCGUUUAAAUACUAGUUGAUUUCAUUCUAAAAAAAAUCUCAACUACUAAAGGUUAACAAAAGGACCGCAGUACUACAUACAUGAUGCAUAAAAAUUUCAGACGCCACGCAGGGUGCCAUGCAGGGGGCCAUUUAGUCCCGGUAGGGAAAUCCAACCGGGACUAAAGGGUAACCCUUUCCUCCCGGUUGGGUUUCCCAACCGGGAGUAAAGGGCCUGUCUCGCGCCUGGCGUGGCAGGCCCUUUAGUCCCAGUUGGUGACACCAACCGGGACUAAAGGGUGACCUUUACUCCCGGUUGAAAGACCCGGGACUAAAGACCCCACCUUUUGUCCCGGUUGGUUUAUCCUGGAUGGAUUUUCGAGAGAUAUGCACCCUACCAACCAGGACUAAAGGCUAAUUCUCUACUAGUGUACUAAUGCUAUGUGACUCCUGGAAAUGAAUAUUAUUCUAAAAUUGCAGUUCUGGAAUGAAAUGAAUACACAGGAGAGCUGCAUAUCUUUGUAUUAAGAACAACUGUGAGAGUAUGCAGGAGAGCUGCGUAUAAGAAAUUUAACGUUUAGAAGAUUGUUACAUCGCAGGGUCAAUCGGGCGCACGCACACGGAACUGCAACCCCACAAUGAUUUACACUGAGUAAAACAACUAAACAACUUAAAUUAGGAGGCUAGCAGAACUACUAAUGCUAUGUGAUUCCUGGAAAUGAAUAUUAUUCUAAAACUGCAGUUCUGGAAUGAAAUGAAUAUUAUUCUAAAACUGACCAUUAUUCAGAUCAUGGCAUAUAUAUGAUGAAGAA
rnacentral:lncRNA from 1 species